GAGAUAUGAUGAGUGGUCAAUACUCGCACUAUAAUAUAAUAUGCGAGAAGGGCGUUCAGGCUCAGCCUGGUUACGACAAUUUGGACGCUCUCAAUUUUACCAAUCCU
rnacentral:snoRNA from 1 species